GGAGAUGUAGCUCACUUGGUAGAGUGUUUGCUUCACAUGCACAAGACCCUGGGUUUAAUUCCCAGCACUACA
rnacentral:tRNA from 1 species